CCUACGGGGGGCAGCAGUGGGGAAUAUUGGGCAAUGGGCGCAAGCCUGACCCAGCAACGCCGCGUGUAGGAAGAAGGCCCUCGGGUUGUAAACUACUUUUAUUCGGGACGAAACAAAUGACGGUACCGAAUGUAUAAGCUACGGCUACCUACGUGCCAGAAGCCGCGGUAAUACGUAGGUGGCAAGCGUUAUCCGGAUUUACUGGGGGUAAAGGGCGUGUUGGCGGGGGGUCAAGUCAGACGUGAAAUUCCAGGGCUUAACCCGGGAACUGCGUUUGAUACUGUUCUUCUUGAGUGAUGGAGAGGCAGGCAGAAUUCCGGGUGUAGCGGUGAAAUGCGUAGAGAUACGGAGGAACACCAGUGGCGAAGGCGGCCUGCUGGACAUUAACUGACGCUGAGGCGCGAAAGCGUGGGGAGCAAACAGGAUUAGAUACCCGUGUAGUC
rnacentral:rRNA from 1 species